CCUACGGGUGGCAGCAGUGAGGAAUAUUGGUCAAUGGACGAGAGUCUGAACCAGCCAAGUAGCGUGAAGGAUGACUGCCCUAUGGGUUGUAAACUUCUUUUAUAUGGGAAUAACACGUUCCACGUGUGGGAUUUUGUAUGUACCCUAUGAAUAAGGAUCGGCUAACUCCGUGCCAGCAGCCGCGGUAAUACGGAGGAUCCGAGCGUUAUCCGGAUUUAUUGGGUUUAAAGGGAGCGUAGGUGGAUUGUUAAGUCAGUUGUGAAAGUUUGCGGAUCAACCGUAAAAUUGCAGUUGAAACUGGCAGUCUUGAGUACAGGAGAGGUGGGCGGAAUUCGUGGUGUAGCGGUGAAAUGCUUAGAUAUCACGAAGAACGCCGAUUGCGAAGGCAGUUCACUGGACUGCAACUGACACUGAGGCUCGAAAGUGUGGGUAUCAAACAGGAUUAGAUACCCGAGUAGUC
rnacentral:rRNA from 1 species